rnacentral:rRNA from 1 species
ACUCAAAUGAAUUGACGGGGGCCCGCACAAGCGGUGGAGCAUGUGGUUUAAUUCGAUGCAACGCGAAGAACCUUACCUACCUUUGACAUCCUUGGAAUCCUGCAGAAAUGUGGGAGUGCCUUCGGGAACCAAGAGACAGGUGCUGCAUGGCUGUCGUCAGCUCGUGUCGUGAGAUGUUGGGUUAAGUCCCGUAACGAGCGCAACCCUCGUCCCUAGUUGCUAACAGGUAAUGCUGAGAACUUUAGGGAGACUGCCGGUGAUAAACCGGAGGAAGGUGAGGAUGACGUCAAGUCCUCAUGGCCUUUAUAGGUAGGGCCACACACGUGCUACAAUGGAAAGUACAAAGGGUAGCCAACCCGCAAGGGGGAGCCAAUCUCAGAAAACUUUUCGUAGUCCGGAUUGGAGUCUGCAACUCGACUCCAUGAAGUUGGAAUCGCUAGUAAUCGCGAAUCAGAACGUCGCGGUGAAUACGUUCACGGGCCUUGUACACACCGCCCGU